GCCAGGGAAGCGGUCAUGGCCAGGGAAGCGGUCAUGGUCAGGGAAGUGGCCAGGGAAGCGGUCAAGGCCAGGGAAGCGGUUACGGUCAGGGUAGCGGUCAGGGUAGCGGCCAUGGAAGCGGUUAUGGUCAGGGUAGCGGCCAGGGAAGCAGCUAUGGCCAGGGAAGUGGUCAGGGUAGUGGUCAAGGCCAGGGAAGCGGUUAUGGCCAGGGAAGCGGUCAAGGAAAUUGUCAGGGAUGUGGUCCUUGACACGGUCAUGGGAGUUUUGCAUAACUCCUACUGGACAUCUUUUCAAUUCAGUGCUUUAUUCAUAUGGCUUUUUUCCCCGUUUCCUCAAACUGUUUAGAAAGGCUUUUCUGUCGCCCCCUCCUCCCUCAAAUAAAAACACAAUUGCUUGAUUGAA